rnacentral:rRNA from 1 species
GAUGAACGCUAGCUACAGGCUUAACACAUGCAAGUCGAGGGGUCUUUUGGAGCUUGCUUUAAAAGACGACCGGCGCACGGGUGAGUAACGCGUAUCCAACCUGCCCUUCAUAUUGGGAUAGCCUUCCGAAAGGAAGAUUAAUACCGAAUAACAUGAGAUAGUUGCCUGAUUUUCUCAUGAAAGCUCCGGCGAUGAAGGAUGGGGAUGCGUUCCAUUAGGUAGUAGGCGGGGUAACGGCCCACCUAGCCGACGAUGGAUAGGGGCUCUGAGAGGAAGGUCCCCCACACUGGAACUGAGACACGGUCCAGACUCCUACGGGAGGCAGCAGUGAGGAAUAUUGGUCAAUGGGCGCAAGCCUGAACCAGCCAAGUAGCGUGAAGGAUGACUGCCCUAUGGGUUGUAAACUUCUUUUAUACGGGAACAAACCUUGGUACGCGUACCAAAUUGCGUGUACCGUAUGAAUAAGCAUCGGCUAACUCCGUGCCAGCAGCCGCAGUAAGAC